rnacentral:rRNA from 1 species
AACGAACGCUGGCGGCAGGCUUAACACAUGCAAGUCGAACGCAUCCUUCGGGGUGAGUGGCAGACGGGUGAGUAACGCGUGGGAACGUGCCCUUCAGUUCGGGAUAACCCAGGGAAACUUGGGCUAAUACCGGAUACGUGCGAGAGCAGAAAGAUUUAUCGCUGAAGGAUCGGCCCGCGUCUGAUUAGCUAGUUGGUGGGGUAAUGGCCCACCAAGGCGACGAUCAGUAGCUGGUCCGAGAGGAUGAUCAGCCACAUUGGGACUGAGACAUGGCCCAAACUCCUACGGGAGGCAGCAGUGGGGAAUAUUGGACAAUGGGCGCAAGCCUGAUCCAGCCAUGCCGCGUGAGUGAUGAAGGCCUAGGGUUGUAAAGCUCUUUCGUCCGGGACGAUAAUGACGGUACCGGAAGAAGAAGCCCCGGCUAACUUCGUGCCAGCAGCCGCUGUAA